ensembl:lncRNA
GUGUUUUCCCUUUUCCUUAAGCAGCCCCAUUUGUUUCAGCCUCAGGGCCUUUUCAGCAGCUGCUCACUCCACCUGGAGCUCUUCUCCAGAUGGAAGCUGCUUUUGCAAUAUAAUCUCCGAGACUCUGGCUGCCCAGCUCCUCCAUAAUAACCAGGCAUGGAUGAGACAGAGAUUUUACAACCCUCACUGGAAUAUCCUGCUGCCUGAAAAAGCACCACGGACCUGGAGUCUUGAAACCAGAGGCAGCCCGAAUCCAGCCACUGUCCCUGCUCCUCAGCAGGGUUGAUUAAUUCAGGCCCAGGUGGCAUUGGCUGCCAGCUGUCGCCACCCCAAGGUGCCUCGCCACCAUUCCUUCACCAGGAUUUGCCUGAUGGUCCAGUGGAUAGGAAUCUGCUUGCCAACACGAGGGACAUGGGUUUGAUCUCUGGUCAGAGAAGAUUCCACAUGCCUCAGGACAACUAAGCCCAUGGGCCACAGAACUAUUGAGCCCACGUGCCCCAGAGCCCAAGUUCGACAAGAGAAGCCACAGCAAUGAUAAGCCUGUAUGACACUCCUACAGAGGAGCUGGCCUCAGCAAUGAAGACCCAUCACAGCCAAAAAUAAAUAGGAAAAUAAAGUUGUUUAAAAAAAAAAAGCUUCCACUCCCAUGACCAUUGUCUGAGGUUCAACAGCAGGAGUUUAUCAAAGAAGGGGAACAUCCAGCUAAGACUAGUACCUCAGAAGGUUUAACAGAAGGUUAGAAACACACCUAUUUUAAGGUUUGCAGCCUAAAUGUCACAUAGGAAUAAAAAGGAACCCCAGUGAAGGACUCCUCACAUAGAAUUCCAUCACAAAUUAAUCACAGGUUAUCAUAAGU